UACGUAGGGUGCAAGCGUUAAUCGGAAUUACUGGGCGUAAAGCGUGCGUAGGUGGUUUGUUAAGUCUGCUGUGAAAGCCCCGGGCUCAACCUGGGAAUGGCAGUGGAUACUGGCAAGCUAGAGUGCGGUAGAGGGUAGUGGAAUUCCCGGUGUAGCGGUGAAAUGCGUAGAUAUCAGGAGGAACACCAAUUGCGAAGGCAGCUCGCUGGGACGUUACUGACGCUGAGACGCGAAAGCGUGGGGAGCAAACAGG
rnacentral:rRNA from 1 species